rnacentral:rRNA from 1 species
UGCAGUCGAACGGUGAAGCCCCGCUUGCGGGGUGGAUCAGUGGCGAACGGGUGAGUAACACGUGAGCAACCUGCCCCUGACUCUGGGAUAAGCGCUGGAAACGGCGUCUAAUACUGGAUACGAGACGUGAUCGCAUGGUCAACGUUUGGAAAGAUUUUUCGGUUGGGGAUGGGCUCGCGGCCUAUCAGCUUGUUGGUGAGGUAAUGGCUCACCAAGGCGUCGACGGGUAGCCGGCCUGAGAGGGUGACCGGCCACACUGGGACUGAGACACGGCCCAGACUCCUACGGGAGGCAGCAGUGGGGAAUAUUGCACAAUGGGCGCAAGCCUGAUGCAGCAACGCCGCGUGAGGGAUGACGGCCUUCGGGUUGUAAACCUCUUUUAGCAGGGAAGAAGCGAGAGUGACGGUACCUGCAGAAAAAGCACCGGCUAACUACGUGCCAGCAGCCGCGGUAAUACGUAGGGUGCAAGCGUUAUCCGGAAUUAUUGGGCGUAAAGAGCUCGUAGGCGGUUUGUCGCGUCUGCUGUGAAAUCUGGGGGCUCAACCCCCAGCCUGCAGUGGGUACGGGCAGACUAGAGUGCGGUAGGGGAGAUUGGAAUUCCUGGUGUAGCGGUGGAAUGCGCAGAUAUCAGGAGGAACACCGAUGGCGAAGGCAGAUCUCUGGGCCGUAACUGACGCUGA